rnacentral:rRNA from 1 species
GACGAACGCUGGCGGCGUGCCUAAUACAUGCAAGUAGAACGCUGAAGGAGGAGCUUGCUCUUCUGGAUGAGUUGCGAACGGGUGAGUAACGCGUAGGUAACCUGCCUGGUAGCGGGGGAUAACUAUUGGAAACGAUAGCUAAUACCGCAUAACAGUAGAUGUUGCAUGACAUUUACUUAAAAGGUGCAAUUGCAUCACUACCAGAUGGACCUGCGUUGUAUUAGCUAGUUGGUGGGGUAACGGCUCACCAAGGCGACGAUACAUAGCCGACCUGAGAGGGUGAUCAGCCACACUGGGACUGAGACACGGCCCAGACUCCUACGGGAGGCAGCAGUAGGGAAUCUUCGGCAAUGGACGGAAGUCUGACCGAGCAACGCCGCGUGAGUGAAGAAGGUUUUCGGAUCGUAAAGCUCUGUUGUAAGAGAAGAACGAGUGUGAGAGUGGAAAGUUCACACUGUGACGGUAUCUUACCAGAAAGGGACGGCUAACUACGUG